GCCCUGGUAGUAUAGCUCGGUCUAGUAUGCCCGCCUGUCACGCGGGCGACGCGAGUUCAAAUCUCGCCCAGGGCG
rnacentral:tRNA from 1 species